AUUACACUCGCCUUUGUGUCACCUUCAACAUUUUAUUGAAAAGUGUUGUUCGUUCGCCAACGGGUCGUUUAUUUCGAAACUCACUGAGCGGAGCCAAACACGUUGAUGUUCUGACCAUUUCACUGGUGCCCAUAGUGCUUAAGGCGAGUAAAACUGAAUUUAAGGUUCCCAGGGUUGGUUUCAAUCCAGCUUGCUUUAUAUUUUCAAGUAUAUUCACAACGAAAGCCCACCUGAAACCAAAAUUUAAAUGAGGAAUUAACCAAAUAUACUGUACUAAAUGUACAGUAUAGUAAGUAAGAAAAAAGGUGCCACUUUGAUUAUCGCAUUGUACGUAUCAAGAUCUACUAAGCCCUUUGCCUGCGCUUCUUCAAAAAGGUGAUGCGCUCUAGAUGCGUGAUUAAAUUUGGCCAACCCUUGAAUCAUCGCUGAAUAUGCUUCAGCUGAAGGAUUUUCCAUACUUAUAAAAAUUUCGUCCGCUAAACUGCCAUCUCUACAUUGGUUAAUAAAAAAUUUUGUUAUGUCGGAUUUACACACGCUUGCAAAUGGACUUACUUCCAAGUUUUUCGUUGUUUCUCUCUUAGCCGGGAACUCUGUUUAAACCAUCUUUCUUCAAUAAAUUCUUCGGGCAGCAGGUCUUCGCUGUUAUUGAAACAUAACAAUUCUAAUAAACUUUGUUUUGUUGUUUC